rnacentral:rRNA from 1 species
GACGAACGCUGGCGGCGUGCUUAACACAUGCAAGUCGUACGGUAAGGCCCUUUCGGGGGUACACGAGUGGCGAACGGGUGAGUAACACGUGAGUAACCUGCCCACCACUUUGGGAUAACGCUAGGAAACUGGUGCUAAUACUGGAUAUGUGCUCCUGCUGCAUGGAGGGGGUUGGAAAGCUCCGGCGGUUGUGGAUGGACUCGCGGCCUAUCAGCUUGUUGGUGGGGUAGUGGCCUACCAAGGCGGCGGCGGGUAGCCGGCCUGAGAGGGUGACCGGCCACAUUGGGACUUAGGUACGGCCCAGGCUCCUACGGGAGGCAGCAGGGGGGAAUAUUGCACCAUGGGCGCAAGCCUGAUGCAGCAGCGCCGCGUGCGGGAUGACGGCCUUCGGGUUGUAAACCGCUUUCAGCAGGGACGAAGCUUUUUGUGACGGUACCUGCAGAAGAAGCACCGGCUAACUACGUG